rnacentral:ribozyme from 1 species
GUUUCGCUGUUUUUUCUUUCCUUUUUCUUUUUCCUGUGCUUUUUUGUGAGAUUACUGGAUGUAUAGAAAGAGGAGGAAGGCGAUGAAAUGUUCAGAUUAAUGUAAAGCGGCACUGCGAGAAGGACAUAUGAUGACGGUGAUUAUAAUGAAAAGUCGCGCUGUAUGUGUUGAGGCAUUUGUGAUAAUAGUCCGAAAGUCGAUGGAAAGCUAACCAGGAAACAAUCAAUUCCUUGCUACAUUUUUUAUAAAUUCUGUACAAAUUUGGUCACGAAAUGUGUUCGUUCAAUCAUGGUUCUUACUGGAUGAUCUUUGGGAACCUUAUCAAUGAAUUAAUCGCUAUAUU